rnacentral:lncRNA from 1 species
AACUGUAACAGGUGAACAGGUGAACACAAACAUGAGGGAGGGUUGGAGUCUCUAAGAUUGAGAGGUCUGAGUUAGCCAAUGAAGACAUCUGAGAUCCUAUCCAAGAUUUCUGUGGUCAGAAAAAGCUGUAAAUGGCAAUAGAGUUUUGGUACCAGAGGCUAGAGUGGACAAAUGAGGGCCAGGGAGGAACCGGAAAAUGG